CUGCUUCUACUUUCUGUAUGGAGCUGGGAGCGUCUGCCUGUUGGACGCCCGAAGAGCGUCAGGUUUGAUCCUUGGUAUGCAGAUGAACAUGACGAAUUACGGUGCCCCACGUGGGCUUACAAGUGGGAUAUCGUUUCCGAGAUGACGAACGAUGUCAAUCUCAUGUACCAAAAGUACAUUGCCGAGUUGAACAUGAUUACGCCUGAGCAGGUAAGGAGGUCAUUACUUUAG
rnacentral:rRNA from 1 species